rnacentral:ncRNA from 2 species
GACGGUCACGGGAGAGCGAUCCGAGGGCCGGCAGAACCCCGUCUCCCGUGCGAGCGAUCGCGGGAGACAACGUUCUGCGCUGUUUAAAUCUGAAGAAAACUAGUGCGUAUGGCCCAUCUGGGAACGGGUGAACGAGCUUUACCUUUCAGUUUCCGCAUCGCUCGGGAAGGGCAACCUCUUCUCGCGGUCUCCGCAGUCCUU